AUACGGGGGGAGCAAGCGUUGUCCGGAAUCAUUGGGCGUAAAGGGCACGUAGGCGGUUUCUUAAGUCGAAUGUGAAAUCUCACGGCUCAACCGUGAAACUGCGUUCGAAACUAAGUGACUAGAGUUUGGGAGAGGUGUACGGAAUUCCUGGUGUAGCGGUGGAAUGCGUAGAUAUCAGGAAGAACACCAAUGGCGAAGGCAGUACACUGGCCUGAAACUGACGCUGAGGUGCGAAAGCGUGGGGAGCAAACAGGAUUAGAAACCCCGGUAGUCC
rnacentral:rRNA from 1 species